AACAGAUCUUUUUAAAGGUCCAGGUUCGUUAAGACAGGCCAGUAGAGGCGAGUGUAAUGAUUAUUUGUAUGGAAGAGAUGCAGAGGGAUGGAGGUUGUUGGUGUUACGUGGCCUCUGUACUGGCUUGUCAAGGUAGGUUGUCCAGCGUGUCAGUGAGGCUGUCAGUUUUCUGAUGGACUCGCCCUAGUACAAUCUAGUACUAAAUAUUCAAAAUGAGAUACUUGUGCGACAUUUGGGACUCUACUGAGGUAACGUUUCGACAGCCAAUGACUUCUUCAGUCCAAUACAGAGAAAAACGGUAAAAGAUGAGGAGAAUGAGGUAAUCCGUCUUUCAGCCUGGAGUCGAUGUGUUUAGUUCAUCAUUCUUCAACUUGUGACUUUUCUAAAACAUUACAGUACUAAACAUCCACAGUAAGAAAUCAUUUUAACCAGUGACUCCUAUUGUACCCAGUAACUAUUAUAUUAUAGUCUGUGUUAAAUAACUUAUGCCAGACAAUAUGCAAGACCACUGAUUACACCAAUACCAUUGUAUACACCAAGAUCAUUGUAUACACCAAGAUCAUUGUAUACACCAAGAUCAUUAAUUACACCAAGAUCAUUGACCACAUCAAGACCACUAACCACUAGUGUCAGCUAUCAGACCUGCAAAAGGCCUUCGAUACUGUCAACCACAAUAUAUUAUGUACGAAACUUCAAGCUAUCGGUAUAGGUUCUGUAGACUGGUUUAAGUCCUACCUUAGCAACAGGAGACAAAUUGUCAAAAUCAACAAAACGGAAUGAGAACCCCUGCCGAUAGCAUGUGGAGUUCCCCAAGGUAGUAUUCUGGGUCCCUUAUUAUUCUUAUGCUAUGUCAAUGACAUGCCUAUCAGUGUCAAGUGCAAACUCCUACUGUAUGCAGAUGACAGUGCUCUGUUAGUGUCAGGUAAAGACCCACCUAGAUAUAGCUAAUGUACUAACACUGGAACUGGAGUCCUGCAGCAAAUGGUUAGUAGACAACAAACUAUCAUUACACCUCGGAAAAACGGAAUCCAUACUCUCUGGCACGAAACAUUAACUGAAAAGGGUAAAUAAUUUUAAUGUCCAGUGUAAUGGGGAGCCCAUCACUUAAGUAUCUUCAGUGAAAUAUCUGGGAAUCCCCUUUGAACCAUGCAUGACAGGAGAAUUGAUAGAGAACAGUGUAGUAAAGAAAGUGAAUGCCAGACUAAAGUUCCUCUACAGACAAGCACAGUGUCUACCUACUGAGGCUCGCAGGACCUUAUGUCUAGCUCUUAUACAGUGUCAUAUGUCUUCAUGGUACUCUGCCUUGACAAAAAAAAAACUGAAAGAUAAACUGCAAAUCACCCAGAACAAAAUGGUAAGAUUCAUUCUGGAGCUGGGACCAAGAGAACAUGUUGGCCAGGAUGAAUUACAGCAGUUGGAUAUGCUGAAUGUUGAAGACAGUAAAACAACUGAUGUUAAAUCAUGUUUAUAAAAUUGCUCACAAAUAAUGUCCAGAAUAUCUUGCUGUCAAUUUUGUCAAGGUUGGGAACCGCAGCAAUCAUAGUACUAGGGGGAGAGAGCACAACUUUGUAGUACCCACAGUCAGUGGCCAGGCUUCAAACACCUUUUAUUGUACAGCAAUAAAGGAAUGGAACAGACUACCCGCACAUGUCAAAGCCAGUCAUAGCAUGAACCAGUUCAAGAAGAGUGCCAAAAAGUGACUGAUGAAUGUAGCUACAGAAAGGGAGGGGAAUGAUUUUUUUUAUUUUUUAGCUAACACACGAGUAAUUUUACCUUAUUCCUAGUAAUGACCCUCGUGUAAUAGUCUUAAUGACCCUCGUGUAGUAGAUAGUCUUAAUGACCCUCGUGUAGUAGAUAGUCUUAAUGACCCUCGUGUAGUAGAUAGUCUUAAUGACCCUCGUGUAGUAGAUAGUCUUAAUGACCCUCGUGUAGUAUAGUCUUAAUGACCCUCGUGUAGUAGAUAGUCUUAAUGACCCUCGUGUAGUAGAUAGUCUUUUUAGUAUGAUAAUAUAAUAUGUUAUGUCAGGUUCUCUACACAUCUGCUGCUAUGUGUGAUAAUUUAUGUAACUGUAUUUGAGUAUACACUGACACUGUAUACACUGACACUGUAUACACUGACACUGUAUACAGUGUCAGUGUAUACAGUGUCAGUGUAUACAGUGUCAGUGUAUACAGUGUCAGUGUAUACAGUGUCAGUGUAUACAGUGUCAGUGUAUACACUGACAGUGUAUACAGUGACAGUGUAUACAGUGUCAGUGUAUACAGUGUCAGUGUAUACACUGACCACUAGUGUCGGGUGUUAACGCACCACUUCAUUAUUAUACUCAUAAAUCCCAAAAUCCUUAAAGAACGAUACGUUACUAUGAUUUAUAUAUUAAAAAUGUAUAUAUAAUAUAAAUUGUAGAUAAAUGGUUGAGAGAAACAUCGGGGUGAUGAAUUAGACACUAUGUAACACUUGGGUGUCUCUACUGUGGUAACGUUUUGCCCACUAAUGGUUUCAUCAGUCCAAUGUUUAUCAAGAUUGAUGGAAUGAAGGACUGUGGGACUGAUUACCUCAAACCCAACAAUUCUUCUCAGCACUGAACUGAGGAAGCCACUGGUGGACGAAACGUCCCCACAAUAAAGAUAAUCCAAGUGUCUUAUUCAUCGCAAUAUAAAUUACUGCCACUUUUUUCAUAAUUAAGACGUUAUUUGUAAUUUUAUCACCUAUUGUAAAACAUAAUUAGAUUAAUAAAGUGAAAAGUGUGA